GAAAGUUUCAGCAUGGCCAAGGUGGCCAGGAAACCUCCAAAACCUAGUGCAGAUGCAGCACCCUCGGCCUCAAAGUCCAAUAUGAAGAAGAAGAAGCAGCAGAAAACUGCCCAUCAUCCCAAGCACAGCUCCACGCAGAAGACCCAGUGAUACUGCCAUUGCCAAUGUGCUCGGAAGGUGACCAGAAAGGAGAAGCAAUCCUUGCGAAUGACUACUAGAAAAAACGCUUCUAUGAAAAUCAUCCGAACGAGAAUUCCUAAGGGACCUCGUGAAACAGCGCCGCCAGAACUCAUUCACGAACAAACGGGUGAGAAUGAUGACAACCUGAGUGCCCCUGAUCAGGGUCAACUGGGCUAUGACCCCUCCCGCAUUUGUGUUGAGGACCUGACCAGCUCCUAGCCUCAAAGCACAGAUGAAGAUCUAAGAAACACCAAUGCAUAGGUCUGGCUGCUGAGUCAUGGCCAGUGAUGUGAAAAGUACAUUUCAACACAAAGCCAAGUUCAUGGUGGUGCCAAUAAAAGUAAACAGAUGAGAAAA